AGAAUCUUAGGUUAAAUCCAAACCCUUAGCCUUCAAAGCUUAAAUUAAACUUUAUUGUUUAGAUUCUG
rnacentral:tRNA from 1 species